UGCAAAUAGGAGGUAAUAAGAAUCCAAAACUCAGUGCACAGACAGUGAAGCGAUGGCCCAAUUGAAGGCUAUAUCACCAUAUUCCUCUCUCAAUCUCGAAUUUCAUGGCCACAAGAGAGAUGGGUCUCUACACAAUUACAAACCAUCCUCAACUCGGAAAUCAAUAACUUCAUUUCAAGUGUUAGGGGCAAAAUGGAGUGAUCUUCGUGGUUG
rnacentral:misc_RNA from 1 species